ensembl:lncRNA novel transcript
UCCAGUGUCUAUUCUAAGGAAAAGAAAAGGAACAAAUCAGUGCAGCGAGCUUUAUUCUACUCAGCCCACGAAAGGCGCCGCCGUCAGAUUUUAAAGUUCCAGCCAUCCCCUCAGGCCCUGAGUGAGAAGUUCGCCCGAUUCCCCGCGGUUCCCGCCUCCAUUUCCCACUAAGGAGCAGUUACUCAGGCUCCAAUUAGGACCCCUUAAUGGAUGUCAAUGGAACCCUUCAGCCUUUUAUCCUGAGCUAAUAGUGUGCUAUUAUUAGAAUAAUCCUCCCCAUUCCUGACAUCACGGAAGGGAGCGUUCCAUUGCCUUCAGAUUUGCUCCAGCAACAACCUCGUGUGUGCAGAUUUAUGGUAACUGGCAUUGCAAUGCUCCCAUCAGGGCAUAACUAAGUAAAAAUUGUAAUGAGGUAAAGCCUUUGAACUUUCCAUGUCAGUUGCACAGGCAUUGCUGGCCAUAGCAUUGGACAGCACAUAAUAAAAUCAGUUAAAAGA